CAUAAUAUAGCAGAAAAACCAAACCCCAACUGCUCAUAUGCCUUCUAAAAACCAAGCCAGCACUCUGUUCACAGUAUCUGCUGUCGUGUUAAAAGCCGACCCUCAAAUGAGCCAUUCAACAUGAAAACAUUUACCUGUUGGGUUAAUUGCAAUAAAAUAUACUUGACCUCUUUUGAUUUUCUCAGAUUCCUUCUGCUGUCUACUUCUAGAAAUACCUGCCUUCGGGGCAGUUCUUUCUAAGGGAGUCAAAUGUUGUUCACCACCUAGCUCCCCGAUGGACCCAUGUAUUUUCUGAAGUCACUCCAGGGAGAGGGAACUGGCGCUGGUGACAGAGCCAGGGAGGACAGGGACUAGAGCCGGCGAGGAUACGUCUUUGGCAGUACUACGAUUUGUGUUUCGAUUCCCUGUCUAACAUGGCAGCAGACACCAACUGGGAACCAAGAUUAGAUGUGAGGAUUUGUCACAUGGGAUGCUUAUGUAACGACGAUCUGGAGAACUUUUUCGCUCCUGCUGUUACCCUAACACAGCAGUGGCACUCCGGUGGACUUCCUGCAGGCAGGCUGGUGACAGG